rnacentral:rRNA from 1 species
AGCUCCAAUAGCAUAUAUUAAAGUUGUUUCGGUUAAAAAGCUCGUAGUUGGGUUUCUGCCAAGGGCAACCUGUCUGCCCGCUGGGUGAGUAUUUGGUUUGGCCUGGGCAUCUUUAUGGAGAGUGUGGCUGCACUUGAUUGUGUGGCGCAGUACCCAUGACAUUUACUUUGAGGAAACUAGAGUGUUUCAAGCAGGCGUACGCCUCGUAUAUAUGAGCAUGGAAUAAUUUGACAGAGCUUUUGCUCUAUCUUGUUGGUUUCUAGAGCUAGGGCUAUGGUUAACAGGGAUAGUUGGGGGCAUUUGUAUUUAACUGUCAGAGGUGAAAAUCUUGGAUUUGUUAAAGACAAACGCAUGCAAAAGCAUUUGCCAAGGAUGUUUUCA